GACCUAAUUGCAAAGAUUAAUAAAGUUUUGGGGUCAAAUUAUAAUUACUACAAAAUUUGAGGUCCAAAUUAAAAGAAAAUAAAGUUUAGGAACUUAUUUGCAAUUAAUUAAGGACCUAAUUGAAAGAAACCUAAAGUAUUUAGGGUCAUAAUACAAUAAAGUAAAAGUACAAGGAUGAAACAGCAAAUUCAUUACCAGAUCACUUAAGGAAUUGGGCCAUUGGGCCAUUUUUAUUUCUUCUUCGGGCUAAAAUCAACUCAACCCAAGUAAAGUCCAAAGAAAAACCAGUAGGCCAGCCCACUUUUAUCACUCAAUCCAACUAAAAUAAAUACAUGGGUUUUGACUUUUAGCCCAACUGAAACCCAAAAGAAAUAAACCAAAACCCAUUUCUAAAACUCAAUAAAAUAAUAACCAUAAGCCCACAUCUAAAAAAAACAUUAGCCCAAACCCAUUUUUUCUUUUCUUUCUUCUUCCCUUCCAUCCGUUUCUUCUUCUUCCUAGGCAACCUGAAGCUCCUCGCAGUUGGUGGCCAUGGUGGCCUCCGGCGGUGCCACAACAGGACCACCGUCAGCAAUUUUUUCAAUCGCCAAAUUUUUUCAAAAUAUAGCCUCUCACUCGAUUUUUUACGUAGAUUCCAUUUUCGGAGUUAUUUUUUACAAAAAAUGAAUCAAAAGCGGCGAAAUUGCCAAAUUACAGGCGUGAUUUUUAUUUUUUAAAACACUCAAAUCUUCACCAAAAAUCAUAAAAUUUAUACAACACUCCUUGUGAUUUUUACAACACAACUAUAAACUGAAAUCAAUAAAAGCAACAACAAAUAUGGCAAAAUUAAAUCAAAACAAGCCCCCUAAAAAUGACAAUAAUAAUAAUAAUAAUGAAAAAAAAGCAAUAGAAAAACACAAAUUAGCAACUAAAUAUGCUUACAAUAUAAUUUUAAAAAAUAAAAAUAAAAAUGAAAGAAGAUACCUCUAUGAUAGCAUUAAUCCCUUUUCCUGAGAAUUUGAUGAAAUUUCGAGCCUUCAACCGUUUUUAUUGGCCUUGCCCUGUCCAAGAGAAAACCUGAGAGUGAGGGUUUUAUUUGCUAAAAAUGAGAGGGAGAAUCUGAGAGAGAGAGCCGAGAGAUUUUUUUCUUCCCUUCUGCACCCGAGGCCUGAGAGUGGGAGCAAAUGAGGGGGUCUCUUGCAAUUUUUUCUUCUUCUGUUUCUUUUUGCUCUCUGGAAGUUCAGAGAGGAAGAGAGUGAAUUGAGGGAGCCAAAAAGCAGAGGGAGAGGGAAUUUUUCGUCUGCUUCUUUUUGUUCUAGCCGAGAGAGGGUGAGAGUGAGGAGUCCGAGAGUCAGAGUUAGGGGCCUCUUCUGCAAAACCCAAAUUCUUCUGUCCAAUUCCCCUGCUUCCCUUCCGUUUCUUUUGC
rnacentral:lncRNA from 1 species